rnacentral:rRNA from 1 species
UGGUGGAGUGAUUUGUCUGGUUAAUUCCGUUAACGAACGAGACCUCGACCUGCUAACUAGUUCGGUCCAAGUUUCGGCUUGGACUUGUGACUUCUUAGAGGGACUAUCGGUGUGUAGCCGAUGGAAGUUCGAGGCAAUAACA